rnacentral:rRNA from 1 species
UACGUAGGGUGCGAGCGUUAAUCGGAAUUACUGGGCGUAAAGUGUGCGCAGGCGGCCGAGCAAGUCGAGUGUGAAAGCCCCGGGCUUAACUUGGGAAUUGCGCUCGAAACUACUUGGCUAGAGUGUGGCAGAGGAAGGUGGAAGUUCCACGUGUAGCGGUGAAAUGCGUAGAGAUGUGAAGGAACACCGAUGGCGAAGGCAGCCUUCUGGGCCAACACUGACGCUCAUGCACGAAAGCGUGGGGAGCAAACAGG